GUGCUCGCUUUGGCAGCACAUGGAGUGAAGCUGGUGCGAUACAGAGAAGAUUAGCAUGGCCCCUAGAUUGGGUUAGAAAUGUUGCACUUGAAGAAAAAAAUACAUUU
ensembl:snRNA Gm26411 predicted gene, 26411